rnacentral:rRNA from 1 species
UGCAGAAUCCCGUGAACCAUCAAGUCUUUGAACGCAAGUUGCGCCCGAGGCCAAUCGGCUAAGGGCACGUCCGCCUGGGCGUCAAGC